rnacentral:rRNA from 1 species
UUAAUUGAAGAGUUUGAUCAUGGCUCAGAUUGAACGCUGGCGGCAGGCCUAACACAUGCAAGUCGAGCGGUAACAGAAAAGAAGCUUGCUUCUUUUGCUGACGAGCGGCGGACGGGUGAGUAAUGCCUGGGAAUAUACCCUGAUGUGGGGGAUAACUAUUGGAAACGAUAGCUAAUACCGCAUAAUCUCUUCGGAGCAAAGAGGGGGACCUUCGGGCCUCUC